ensembl:lncRNA furin-like protease 2
CCACCAGUUCCUCCAGAACACUCCUCACAGGGAUUUCUGCAGCUCUGGGAGGGCAGAUCUGCUCCUCUGAGUUCCUGCCGGGUGCUCUGCUCUGAGGAAGCCGUAUCAUCUCAGACCUGCUGCAGCCUCAGAAUAUAAACCCCCCUUUGUUGGGGAGAGGUUGACUUGACUGAGCCACAUGAUCAGUCAGGUGACAAAAUUGGGCACCAAAGCGGAGGAGAAUGAGCAGCUGGGUGAGGGCAGGAGCUGCUGAUCUUGCCUCUUGACAGGCUGUGUUACUCCUCAGGGAAAAAUGAGUGCCUGGCUCUGUCCUCUGCUGUGGAGCUUAACCAUGGUGUGCUUAACAGGUAUUGCUUUAGGCCAGAUAACCAGCACUGAGGUCCCAGUUGCAGCCACCCCUGCACCUCCCAGUGCAGCCAGUACUGGGGUUCCCAUUGCAUCUACCCCAGCAUCUCCCAGUGCAGCCCCUGCUACAGCCUCUGCUCCCCCAGCUGCUCCUGCAACACUCUCAGCUGGACUGACAGCAACCACUGCAGGCCCUGCUGCAUCCACAGCAGCUCCAUCUGCUGAUCCAAGCACAGAACCCCCUGCCCAGACUCUGCCCUCCACCACGGGGACUGUCCCCACCUCUGGCAGCAGGGCCACCUCUCAGACUUCAGCACUGACAGCCACAUCCAUCAGUGCCCCAGUGUCCCCUCCAGGAGUGACCCCAUCCCCUGGGCUCCCAUCAUCAGCUCUGCCCCCCAGCACCCCCCAGCCCUCCAACUGCAGCAGAGAGAAUGUGACAGCCUGUGUCCCCUGCCCCCCAGGGACAGUCCCCAGCCAAGGCACCCUGAGCUGCUCGUGCUGCGCGGGGGGCGCGUGCACCGACCCCAGUGCCUGCAGCCCCUGCCCCCCAGGGCACCACCAGCCCCAGAGUGGGCAACCCUCCUGCCUGCCCUGCCCCCAGGGCUCCUACACCAGCUUCCCAAGGAGCACUGUGUGUCUUCCCUGCCCACCAGGACAUUUUGCUAAUGAGUCUGGGGCUGCAGCCUGCAGAGCCUGUGAGCGAGGCUAUUUUAGCUCCAAGCAAAAUGCAGCUUUUUGUCUGCCUUGCCAGCCAGGAUCAUUUUGCAACGCCAGCGGCUGCUCGGGCUGCCUGUCCUGCCCCGGGGGACAGGAGGCUCCUCGGGAGGCGGCGGAGGGGUGCGACUCCUGCCCGGCAGGUACAUUCAAAGGUGCCAGUGACAGCAGAUGCAAGGCCUGCAACACAGGAGAGUACCAACUACAGUGGGGCAAGGAGAGCUGUGAGCUGUGCCCACAAAACCACUACUGCCCUAGCCCAGAUGUGAAGCCUGUGAAGUGCCCUCCUGAUGCCUUCUGCCCCCGGGGCAGCGCGGAGCCCACCUACUGCAUGGAGCUGUUCCUGUACAAGGCAGGGGACUCCUGCCAGCUGACCCCUGCCACAGUCAUUGUCCUGGCCACCUUCUCAGCAGGUGCAAUCCUUGUUGUGUUUCUGAUAAUCCUGAGAAGGCGGCAAGAGCACAGCAGGAGCUCCCUGAAGUCGCCGUUGCUGCCGUGGGGCUCAGGACGCGGCUCCUAUGGGGGCAUGGAGCACACAGAGCCAGUCUAUGCUGGCUGGUAGCUCUGGCCAGGACCAGCAGCCUCUCCUUCCCCUGGGGCAGCACAGUUGUGGCUCUGGCCAAGGUGUUUAACCGUGAGCAACCCUAUUUCUGUAUAACUAAAAUCAGUGCUGGGGAAUAAAACUCAGUUUUUGAGUUGUGGCUACUUGUGC